AUGGCCUCAAGUGAAAGAGUUUUCAGCAUGCAAAGUUUCAGGUCGCUGAGUGGAAUAACUUUGAUGUUUAAUUUAUCGCUAUUCGACCUCAUCUCGGUGGCCGAAAUUAUACUCCGAGUGACAGAAUUGAACAUUCCGAGUGGUUUUCGGCUGAUCAUGCCUUCAAGGCAACCUCGGAUGAAGGAGUAUUCUGAAGGAAUUGUCUUCGUCUCGUCGAAGCAAUCGAUUUUCAUAUAUAAAUCAUCUCAAUCCGAGUUCAUAUGCAAAAGUUAUAGUCAAUACGGUCUGGACAGGCCAGAGACCUAA
rnacentral:rRNA from 1 species